GGGACAUCCAUCGGGAGUCAAAGGAGGUAACUCCGGUGACGGAUGGGCAUGCGGCGCAUUAGGUAGUUGGUAGGGUAACGGCCUACCAAGCCGACGAUGCGUAGGGGUUCUGAGAGGAAGGUCCCCCACAUUGGAACUGAGACACGGUCCAAACUCCUACGGGAGGCAGCAGUGAGGAAUAUUGGUCAAUGGCCGGAAGGCUGAGCCAGCCAAGUCGCGUGAGGGAAUGAGGCCCUAUGGGUCGUAAACCUCUUUUGUCAGGGAGCAAAGGCGUCCACGUGUGGACGAGAGGAGAGUACCUGAAGAAAAAGCAUCGGCUAACUCCGUGCCAGCAGCCGCGGUAAUACGGAGGAUGCGAGCGUUAUCCGGAUUUAUUGGGUUUAAAGGGUGCGUAGGCGGAGUGUCAAGUCAGCGGUAAAAUUUCGGGGCUCAACCCCGUCGUGCCGUUGAAACUGACACCCUUGAGUGAGUGAGAAGUAAGCGGAAUGCGUGGUGUAGCGGUGAAAUGCAUAGAUAUCACGCAGAACGCCGAUUGCGAAGGCAGCUUACCGGCGCUCAACUGACGCUGAGGCACGAAAGUGCGGGUAUCGAACAGGAUUAGAUACCCUGGUAGUCCGCACAGUAAACGAU
rnacentral:rRNA from 1 species